UCAAAAAUUUUGUUAAGAGGCGUCUCAAAGGAAGACAUAUUCCAGCUAGCUUGACGGGUCAGAAACGAAAUAAAACAGUGAAUGGGCUGAGAAAAUAGAUUGUUAACAGAUGUCUGAUUCAGGAGAUGAUGGCGGAACAGAAUGGUAUGAGGAACCAAUCACAAUAGUGGGAUUUGUUGCAGGAUUCUUACUUCUUGUGUUAGUCAUUGCGAGUAUUUUAAUACUUUGCUACUCAAAGGAUAAGGAGGAAGAUGAGGAGGAUACUGAUGGACAGACAUCUACAUCUAGGGACAAUCAUGGCCUAGACAGAACAAGUGAUGAUCAUGAUAAGACGAAUCCAUUAUAUAUUUCUGCCAAUGAAUUUGAUCUUCGGCCAUAUCCACGUCCACUUCGUGCAAAGUUCGUUCACAUACACGUCGACGAAUCUCGCCAUAACAGAGAAGGGUUUGAAUCGUAUUACAACACUGAUCAAUACACGAGUAAUGCAUAAUAUAACUAUUAAAAUGAUAAAUUAAAGAUGUACUAGACACCUCACUAAUUUACCUGAGUAUACAUGAAACAAUAGUCUGAAAACGAGGCUGGCAAUAUAUUCUAUUGUUUGCUGGUUUGGUAGUUUUGAUUGCCAGAGAGAAAAUUUGGGAAGUGUUUCAGUACUUAUAUAUACAUAUAACACCUGUUCGUUAUAUAUCACCGUUCAGAGGAGGAACUCAAUUAUUCGCAGUUAAAAUGAUCGUAAAUACUAGUUCCAAUUAUUGUGCUAUAGAAGACGCACAUUGGAUGACAUUUAAAUUAUUUGACACGUUGCCAAUGAUAUCAGAACAUAUUAAGUGUAUAAGAUCAUUGCAAGUAAAUCGUAACUAU